rnacentral:rRNA from 1 species
GACGAACUUUGGCGGCGUGCUUAACACAUGCAAGUCGAACGGAAAGGCCCUGCUUUUGUGGGGUGCUCGAGUGGCGAACGGGUGAGUAACACGUGAGUAACCUGCCCUUGACUUUGGGAUAACUUCAGGAAACUGGGGCUAAUACCGGAUAGGAGCUCCUGCUGCAUGGUGGGGGUUGGAAAGUUUCGGCGGUUGGGGAUGGACUCGCGGCUUAUCAGCUUGUUGGUGGGGUAGUGGCUUACCAAGGCUUUGACGGGUAGCCGGCCUGAGAGGGUGACCGGCCACAUUGGGACUGAGAUACGGCCCAGACUCCUACGGGAGGCAGCAGUGGGGAAUAUUGCACAAUGGGCGGAAGCCUGAUGCAGCAACGCCGCGUGCGGGAUGACGGCCUUCGGGUUGUAAACCGCUUUCGCCUGUGACGAAGCGUGAGUGACGGUAAUGGGUAAAGAAGCACCGGCUAACUACGUGCCAGCAGCCGCGGUGAUACGUAGGGUGCGAGCGUUGUCCGGAUUUAUUGGGCGUGAAGGGCUCGUAGGUGGUUGAUCGCGUCGGAAGUGUAAUCUUGGGGCUUAACCCUGAGCGUGCUUUCGAUACGGGUUGACUUGAGGAAGGUAGGGGAGAAUGGAAUUCCUGGUGGAGCGGUGGAAUGCGCAGAUAUCAGGAGGAACACCAGUGGCGAAGGCGGUUCUCUGGGCCUUUCCUGACGCUGAGGAGCGAAAGCGUGGGGAGCGAACAGGCUUAGAUACCCUGGUAGUCCACGCUGUAAACGGUGGGUACUAGGUGUGGGGUCCAUUCCACGGGUUCCGUGCCGUAGCUAACGCUUUAAGUACCCCGCCUGGGGAGUACGGCCGCAAGGCUAAAACUCAAAGGAAUUGACGGGGCCCCGCACAAGCGGCGGAGCAUGCGGAUUAAUUCGAUGCAACGCGUAGAACCUUACCUGGGUUUGACAUGGAUCGGGAGUGCUCAGAGAUGGGUGUGCCUCUUUUGGGGUCGGUUCACAGGUGGUGCAUGCCUGUCGUCAGCUCGUGUCGUGAGAUGUUGGGUUAAGUCCCGCAACGAGCGCAACCCUUGUUCACUGUUGCCAGCACGUUAUGGUGGGGACUCAGUGGAGACCGCCGGGGUCAACUCGGAGGAAGGUGGGGAUGACGUCAAGUCAUCAUGCCCCUUAUGUCCAGGGCUUCACGCAUGCUACAAUGGCUGGUACAGAGAGUGGCGAGCCUGUGAGGGUGAGCGAAUCUCGGAAAGCCGGUCUCAGUUCGGAUUGGGGUCUGCAACUCGACCUCAUGAAGUCGGAGUCGCUAGUAAUCGCAGAUCAGCAACGCUGCGGUGAAUACGUUCCCGGGGCU